UACGAAGGGGGCUAGCGUUGUUCGGAAUUACUGGGCGUAAAGCGUGCGCAGGCGGUUGUGCAAGACAGAUGUGAAAUCCCCGGGCUCAACCUGGGAACUGCAUUUGUGACUGCACGGCUGGAGUGCGGCAGAGGGGGAUGGAAUUCCGCGUGUAGCAGUGAAAUGCGUAGAUAUGCGGAGGAACACCGAUGGCGAAGGCAAUCCCCUGGGCCUGCACUGACGCUCAUGCACGAAAGCGUGGGGAGCGAACAGG
rnacentral:rRNA from 1 species